rnacentral:rRNA from 1 species
GACGAACCGUGCGAACGUUAUUCGGAAUCAUUGGGCUUAAAGGGCGCGUAGGCGGCGGCGUAAGUUGGAAGUGAAAUCCCAUCGGCUCAACCGUGGAAUUGCUCCCAGUACUGCGUCGCUCGAGGGGGAUAGGGGUCUGCGGAACUACCGGUGGAGCGGUGAAAUGUGUUGAUAUCGGUGGGAACGCCAGUGGCGAAAGCGGCAGACUUGACCCUUCCUGACGCUGAGGCGCGAAAGCUAGGGGAGCAAACGGG